rnacentral:rRNA from 1 species
CCUACGGGUGGCAGCAGUGGGGAAUAUUGGACAAUGGGGGAAACCCUGAUCCAGCCAUGCCGCGUGUGUGAAGAAGGCCCUCGGGUUGUAAAGCACUUUCAGUGAGGAAGAACGCCUGGUGGUUAAUACCCAUCAGGAAAGACAUCACUCACAGAAGAAGCACCGGCUAACUCCGUGCCAGCAGCCGCGGUAAUACGGAGGGUGCGAGCGUUAAUCGGAAUUACUGGGCGUAAAGCGCGCGUAGGUGGCUUGAUAAGCCGGUUGUGAAAGCCCCGGGCUCAACCUGGGAACGGCAUCCGGAACUGUCAAGCUAGAGUGCAGGAGAGGAAGGUAGAAUUCCCGGUGUAGCGGUGAAAUGCGUAGAGAUCGGGAGGAAUACCAGUGGCGAAGGCGGCCUUCUGGACUGACACUGACACUGAGGUGCGAAAGCGUGGGUAGCAAACAGGAUUAGAUACCCGGGUAGUC